rnacentral:rRNA from 1 species
CCUACGGGAGGCAGCAGUGGGGAAUAUUGGACAAUGGGGGGAACCCUGAUCCAGCAAUGCCGCGUGUGUGAAGAAGGCCUGAGGGUUGUAAAGCACUUUCAGUGGGGAGGAGGAUGCUUAGGUUAAGAGCUAGAGUAUUGGACGUUACCCACAGAAGAAGCACCGGCUAACUCCGUGCCAGCAGCCGCGGUAAUACGGAGGGUGCGAGCGUUAAUCGGAAUUACUGGGCGUAAAGGGUGCGUAGGUGGUUGAUUAAGUUAUCUGUGAAAUCCCCGGGCUCAACCUGGGCAGGUCAGAUAAUACUGAUUGACUCGAGUAUAGGAGAGGGUAGUGGAAUUUCCGGUGUAGCGGUGAAAUGCGUAGAGAUCGGAAGGAACACCAGUGGCGAAGGCGGCUACCUGGCCUAAUACUGACACUGAGGCACGAAAGCGUGGGGAGCAAACAGGAUUAGAUACCCUGGUAGUCCACGCUGUAAACGAUGUCAACUAGCUGUUGGUUAUAUGAAUAUAAUUAGUGGCGCAGACAACGACGAUAAGUUAGUACCGCCGUCGGGGAGGUACGGUCGCGAGAAGUAAACGUACGAAAGAAGUUAGACGGCGUGAGACGUGACCGACGGACGACGACGAGGGAGGAGG